GCCACCGAAGUUUAUCUCAUCAUAAAAAAGCCCCAGUUCUUCUCUUCUUGCCUUUCCUUCUUAUCCGUUUCAGUCGCCGCUUGCCCCCUCCUCGUCCAAUAAAAAUUCGUCCGCUUUUCUUCAUUUCCUCUUUCUUUCUGCUUACUUCCCUCUCCACCUUCUCUUUCGCAAACACAUACAAUUCCUAAAAUCAGAAAGUACGAAUCUACAAAAAACUCUUUAUGCUUAUGAAAUCAGAUCAAGGAAACCUACCAGAUGAGUCCAGUUGCAAAGCUCGAAUGUCCUCAUCGAUAUUAUCUACGAUUGAAAGAAAGGUAAAAAGUUCAGUAUUCUGCAUAAAUUUUAUAAAUAUUUAGGGAUUAACAGACACAAUACAAAAAGAAAAUCCGAUUACUGAACUACAGAUUCCCCCCACCGUCUUUCUCAUCUCCGGUCUCUAUCUACUCCUCCGACUUCCUCCCCCGCCUAAAAGGGACCGCUUCCAUCGCCACCAAUCCCUCUACUUGAAGGGGUUUAUACUCAGAUCAGGGAGGAAAUCAUUGUUGAGAAAGAAGCUUUCGAGACUCUCAUACGUAUUAUUGUUCAUUGCUGCCUCCACUGCUCGCCAUGGAGAUUCUCUCUUCAGCUUCCGUUGAUUCCUUCUCUUCAAUAACACAUGCUCGCCGUCGACUUCCAGAAGCCUUUUUGUUGAUCAUCUGCUUUGAAGCUUCAAUUUGGAGAUGCUGCCACGUCCGAUUCGUUUGCUCUCCACCAGUUUGUUGAUUACAAUUUUGGUGUUAAUCGACUCAAGUAUGGAUGGUUUUCUAGAAAACAGACAGCGAUGGAUGGGGGUAUCUUUUUUUUUGGUGAAGACUGAAUAACCCUAGAACAGUAAAACUUUUAUUUGAUUUCAUUCUUGUAGAAGAUUCUUUUAGAUCAUCACAACUGGCAUAUGUUUUUAUUCUUCUUUUUUUCAACCAACCAUCGUCACAAAGCGGGACCUGACUUACCUAUAAACUCUCAACCUGUGUGUCAUGUUAGAGUUUUUCAAGCAGAUGUGGAAAGAAUCUAAUGUUUUUGAUUUGUAACCUGUUUCUGUAUGGAAUGUCAACUUAUUUGUUAAAUUUCUGUUGAUGAACUGAACUGACCUAAAAUCUAUAAUACUAUAUCCUUUUUUGCCUCCACAAGACCACCAAUUGACCCUUUAAUGGCACAAGCAGUUUUAUCACCUCCUAAUCCAAGAAAGCCCUCGGGUCCCACAAAAUUAAAGGAAACUUUCAGAAUGAGAAGUGGGGCAGCUGGUGGGACCCGUAGGUGUAUGGUUCAAGAUGAUAGUGUUCAUGAUGAUGAGGUUGAUGUUUCAAUUCCAGGGGCAAAAAAGGGAAGAAAGUGGAGUAAAGCUGUUAGGAAAGCAGCUAGGAUGCAGGUAGCUCGGGAAGCCGAACCGGUCAAAGUAGAACUAAUGGAAGUUGGUGAAGAAGGUAUGCUGAUUGAUGAGCUGGCGUAUAAUUUAGUUGUGAGUGAAGGUGAAAUACUAGGGCAUCUUUAUGCAAAGGGUAUUAAGCCUGAUGGGGUGCAGAAGCUUGAUAAGGAAAUGGUGAAGAUGGUUUGUAGGGAGUAUGAGGUGGAAGUUAUUGAUGUGGGUCCCAUUAAAAUAUCAGAACAAGCUAAAAAGAAAGAAUUUUUUUUAUGAAAAAGACUUGGAUCAUUUACAAGAUAGACCCCCUGUUCUCAUAGUCAUGGGUCAUGUUGAUCAUGAAAAGACAACCCUUUUGGAAUUUAUCCGGAAAACCAAGGUACAAUUUCAUCAAUAUUAUUUCUUUAUGAUUAAAGAACGAAAAAGAUAGUCUUUGUAACAUGAAAUGUAGAUAAAGAUUGGAUCUUUAUGAUUAAAGAAUGAAAAAGAUAGUCUUUAUAACAUGUUCUUUUCCAGUUUUGGUUUUAGAGUUGACUAGGACCAAUGAACUGGAUGCUGAUUACAAAUAUCUGUUCUUUCACCUCUAAAAUCCAAUAACCUGUCUGUGUGAAGGGUUUCCGCCACUGUGCACUAAGUAUUGGUGUUGUGUAGAAAAGGGUAUUUAUGUAAUUCGGAUAUACUAAUUACUUACCUGAAACACUUUGUACCCUUUAUCUGGGAUCUGCCACUUCCACAGAAGAGGCUCCAAGCUAAUGAAAAUAAAAAUUUGAUUAAAAUAUGCAUAUAGGGGUAAAAUGGUAAAAACAUACUUGCACACAAACCUGAGCCAUAGGACUACCAUUAUCAGUAUUUAUAAGCAUCCUUGAAUUUGUGUCCACCGCAAAAAGAUUAGCACGGUUUUCAUCAUGGAAAAACUUCGGCUUUGCACUGCAUAAAAAAUAAAAAAAUAAAAUAUAUAUAUUUUUUCUUUAAAUACGUUUCAUAAACAUAUAUAUAUAUAUAUAUAUAUAUAUAUAUAUAUAUAUAUAUAUAUAUAUAUACACACACACACACACAAUCUUUAAAGUAAAGAAAUGAGUAUAACCUGCGAGUUAUGACAACAUCAAAGUGUUGGAGCCAGUCAAGAGUCACCAAGGAGCUGACUGGGGUGUCUCGACUUAGAUGCUUAUUAUCGCUGACCUGGCAAAGAAAUCAAAGUAACCGUUGACGAAUUUCCUUAUAACCUAAAGUAAUUAAUUUAUUGAUUUGCCUAUCUGAUUUUCUUUCAAUUCAAUGGAGUUGAUGUCAAUCGAUUGUUGAGAGUAUGAUGAAAACGUGGGAUUUUGAAUAGUUUUUUAUUUAUUUGAUUAUUUGUUUUUUUAUAUAUACAUGCUUGCUUCCAUAUAUAGAUGCACUUUUGAAUGCUAUUUGUUAUACAUCUUUUCCUUUCUGCACCGUUUAUUUGUGUUAGUAAUGCAGGUCUGUAUACCCUUGAUGAUUAUUGAAGGCCCUGUUGCUGUAAGUUUUAUUUUCUGGGUUGAAGGGUAUUUUUGGAAACAUUUAGACAAAAAGAUCGAAUCUUUGAAAAUUUUAUUUGUAUUGUUGCUAUUUCUGGUGGUUCAACUUUUGGAACCCCUUUUGUGAGUCUUAUAAAUUUUGCUUCUUUACUCAUUACAGAUGCUGCAAGCCAUUGUUUUGUUGCUGGAAAAAAAUAAACUUCUUCUUGAGUUUGGACUUUGUCAGGCACAGGUUGUAAACAUUUUUUUGUUUUUUUUAAUUAUUAACAGAUUUCAUGUGCUAUAAUUUAUUUAAAAAAUAAAAUUUUUUGUUUAAUUCAUUUGUAUUGCUCGAUGGUGGUGUACUUUUUUAUUUGCAAAAUCUUGGAUAUAAAAAGCAAUAUAUAAGCUUCAUGGAUAGCAUAACAAUGGAAUUUUGGAUUGUUGUAUCUAAUCAUACCCACUACAAAAUCAUAACACAGACAGCUGUUCUUGCAAUGCCAAAAAAUGGGAUUUGAUUGUUCCCAGAUGUGUGGUUUGCUUAUAUAGAAGCUAAGACUCCAACAUACUUUUUUUCUACCAGAUGACUAUUUUUGCAACGACAAAAAAUGAAAUUGGUUGGCUUCUAGAUGUCAGGUUUGCUUAUGUAGCAGCUAAGGCUUCACGAGAUGGAUUAUGUACAUAUACACGUUGAAAGAACGAAAAAAAAAUUGAAUCAGCGCCAACGGGCGCGCAUGAUUCCAUCUAGUUUAAUUAGUUCAUUUUGAUCACUUAGUUAAUUAUAAAUUAAUUUCUUGAUCAAUACUAAUUAAAUACUAUGAUUAUAUUAAUAUAUUAGAACUUAUAUUA